rnacentral:rRNA from 1 species
CUAAGAAUAUUCCGCAAUGGAGGAAACUCUGACGGAGCGACGCCGCGUGGAUGAUGAAGGUCGGAAGAUUGUAAAAUCCUUUUAUGACUGAGGAAUAAGCUGGGUGAGAGAAACGCCUGGUGGUGACUGUAGGUCAUGAAUAAGCAACGGCUAAUUACGUGCCAGCAGCCGCGGUAACACGUAAGUUGCGAGCGUUGUUCGGAAUUAUUGGGCGUAAAGGGUAUGUAGGCGGUUCUGCAAGUCUGGUGUGAAAUGCCGGGGCUCAACCCCGGAACUGCGUUGGAAACUGCAGGACUUGAAUCGCUGAGGGGCAGCCAGAAUUCCAGGUGUAGGGGGUGAAAUCUGUAGAUAUCUGGAAGAAUACCAAUGGCGAAGGCAGGCUGCCAGCAGAUGAUUGACGCUGAGGUACGAAGGUGCGGGGAGCAAACA